GGGCCAGUAGUCUAGCAUGGUUAGGACGUCGCUCUUACACAGCGAAGGUCGCAGGUUCGAGUCCUGCCUGGCCCA
rnacentral:tRNA from 1 species